CGAGGCUCAAUUCCAGCAUCAAGGCUAAAUUCAUCCAGGAUAACCCAAAAAAUCCCAGUUUAAUCCCUUAUCCAGGUUUUGUGAAAUACCCCUC